AUAAUUUUCAGCAACGGAUCUCUUGGCUCUCGCAUCGAUGAAGAACGCAGCGAAAUGCGAUACGUAAUGUGAAUUGCAGAUCUACCCUGAAUCAUCGAAUUUUUGAACGCACCUUGCGCUCUUUGGUUAUUCCGAAGAGCAUGCCUGUUUGAGUGUCGCGA
rnacentral:rRNA from 1 species